rnacentral:rRNA from 1 species
GACGGAGGAUGCAAGUGUUAUCCGGAAUCACUGGGCGAAAAGCGUCUGUAGGUGGUUUAAAAAGUCCACUGUUAAAGGUUGAAGCUUAACUUCAAAAAUGCCGUGGAAACUUUUAAACUUGAGUAUGAUAGGGGUAGAGGGAAUUUCCAGUGGAGCGGUGAAAUGCGUAGAUAUUGGAAAGACCACCGAUGGCGAAGGCACUCUACUGGGCCAUUACUGACACUGAGAGACGAAAGCUAGGGGAGCAAAUGGG